rnacentral:tRNA from 2 species
UGCGGGGUGGAGCAGUCUGGUCAGCUCGUCGGGCUCAUAACCCGAAGGUCAUCGGUUCAAAUCCGGUCCCCGCGACCA